ACAAGGCCGAGUAUAGCCACAAAGAUCUCCGCCACGGCACAACUAGGGGCGCCAACCCAGACAUUUGUCGAUUUGUCACAUUGUCGAAGGAGUGCUCCCUCAGACCAUCCGGUGCAUGGACAUCCUGUGCCAGUGUGAUGUGGUUGUGGAGACUACAGCACAUCGAGCCUGUGGACGAACAAACGUGACAUGCGGAACAUCAGGCUCACCCCACGAGAAGUAUGAUCAAUGCACCCUCAGCAAGGAGAAGUGAUGUCUCUCCCAUCCUGCAUUUACCAGAAACUGAAGCUCCACACAACAAAGGGGGUACUGACAGGUGGUGUGAUGAAGACUCUGAUCCAGUGCCCCCCAAAAAACAUUGUAAUAAAACUUCAAGAAAUGAGGUGUGGCUUGCGGAACAUCCUGCUCACCCCAUGAGAAGCAGAGCAUGAUCAACGCCACUUGCAGAAAGGAGAUCUUCUGGAAUGGAUGUACUCUCACUCUGGGGGUAGAGGCAGGGAUGACUGGGUUCUUCAGCAAGUAAGACACGGGGUAAGAAAUAAUUUAAACAUCACAGAUAUAAAUUCCCAAUGUGCCCAUGAUAAAGUUAACUACAUUACUUUAGUUGGCUGCUUUCAGCAAAAAUUGUAUGUAAUGUAACCUAUUCUGGGAGACUAGUGUAUGUAUGUACAAUGUGGAAUAUUUUUGGACCAUUGGCUUCCCUGAAAACGGAGACUGACAGGAGGAUCAAUAGGAGUCUGCCAGGGGUCGUCACGCUGGAUGGUGAUGGAGGUUUUGGUGGUCCACACAACGAAGAAGCAGGUGUCCCUUCAAGUGACGUGGAGUUGACCUUGGACCAAGUGCCAGUAAGGAUGGUUCUUCACGGAGGCUGUAAGACCCUUUCUUCUGGAUAUAGAAAUCCUUCAACUUCACUGCCUCUUCAAUGGUAAGGCCCCCUUGCACCAUAGGGGCAUUUGACCUCCACCAAUGCUGUGGUGCCCACCAGACCAUCUGGUGAGGCACCCAGAAUCCCAGAACCCGUGACCCAAAGCCCAGACUCCUGCACAUCCAUCCCUGUAGCCAUUUUGAAUGCCUMGAUGCCCUCCUCUUUAUCUGUGCCCCACUUUACACACAACACCCCAUCCAACGACUGUGAACACCUUGAAAUGUAUGCAUUUUAAGAAAUGUGAUAUAAAAAUUGUUUGAUUUGAUUGAUGACUACAGCUGUAGAAUAUUUAAUAAACUGUAAAGUGCAGUUUUUCCAUAAACUUUUAAUUGAUAACUUGGGAUUUUGUCACUUGACAUAUCAAUCAUACAGUGGGAAGGAUCCUAUAAAUCAAGACUGUGUGGAUGCAUGUACCUCUCCGAAUAAAUAAAUACAAUAAAGUCUGAUGUCUAAACAAAGUCAAUUCUGAAUGUCAAUUAGUUUUGGAUUAAUUCUCAUCAAUUCUAGAACUGAGUUAACACUAAUCGAAGUCUGGUAUCCGGGGUAAUCUGGUUAUUGAUUAUAUGAUAAAGUGUCUGUUUCCUUAUAGAAUGUUGACAGCUGUAUAGAACAAAUUGUAUUGCUAUGAUGCUCAAACUUAAUAGGUUGCAUGUUCAAAUCCAGCGAUAGAGUUUUGUUUUAAGCCUAUCCCAAACCUUAACCAUUGCGGUAAUGCC